rnacentral:rRNA from 1 species
GAUCGCGGUUACGAGAGAUCGUUUCCUUCAGUUCGGCUGGAUCAGUGACAGGUGCUGCAUGGCUGUCGUCAGCUCGUGUCGUGAGAUGUUCGGUUUAAGUCCGGCAACGAGCGCAACCCACAUCCCUAGUUGCCAGCAGUUCGGCUGGGCACUCUAUGGAAACUGCCCGUGAUAAGCGGGAGGAAGGUGUGGAUGACGUCAAGUCCUCAUGGCCCUUACGGGUUGGGCUACACACGUGCUACAAUGGCAGUGACAAUGGGUUAAUCCCAAAAAACUGUCUCAGUUCGGAUUGGGGUCUGCAACUCGACCCCAUGAAGUCGGAAUCGCUAGUAAUCGCGUAACAGCAUGACGCGGUGAAUACGUUCCCGGGCCUUGUACACACCGCCCGUCACACCAUGGGAGUUGGGCCUACCCGACGGCCGUGCGCUAACCUUUCGAGGAGGCAGCGGACCACGGUAAGCUCAGCGACCGGGAAAGUCGUAACAAGGUAACC